rnacentral:lncRNA from 1 species
AAUCACAAUCAUGCUCGUGAAUGAAUGGAUGUACAACAGCAGGAGGAAGGAGACGAUACGGAUAAACUGGCCUGCGUAUCCCCACUAUGAAGCCCCAGAAGUGUUUUCUCCGCUAAUACUGGACGGUAAACAGCUGUACUACGUGAACACAUUCGAGAGCGCAGCGAGCGCCAUGGAGACGGGAGCCGUUGCAGCGGAAAACGUGGCCAGGCUCCUCCUUGCGAGGCUCAGGCUGCCUCUCCCUUCCCGGCUCCACCUUGGGGCCGAUGAUCCCGACCAGCGAGCAGAUCUGUGAAUGCAUUGCGCACACGCGCCAUCUGUAUUUGUAUUUGUGACCUUUGGAACUACUACUAGUAGCUUUGUGCCAAUCAGCUAUUUAUGUGCUCGUGUGAAAAAAAAAUGGUUUAGGAUAUGGGGAUUUCGUCAUCCGACUAAACCCGACCUGGUUUCACCUAAAGUGAGAAAUGAUUGAUAGAAUAAGUUGUGUUCUUUUAGUUAGGUUAUUGCUCGAUUUUCACACACGCGCACUAUGAAUUGCUAAACAAAAUAUUUGUUUCUAUACAUAAGUUAAUCAUCUUAACUUUGUUGAGUAGAUUUUUAAUUUUAUAGUAGUUAGUUUUAUCGUUUAUACUAUUAAAUAGUUAUAAAAAAUUCAGAUAAUUUUUUAGCAACCAAAAGAACACAAGCAUAGUUUAAAUGAUUGGAUUAUGGUAGAAGAUUACAAAACUAAAAGUACUUGCAUUUUAAAACAACAUAUAGAGUAGUAGUAAUGUAUGCGGUGAAAACGAGCCAAGACAAGCUUGGAUCGGCUUGUGAAAGAUCACAUCAACACAACUUAGCUUUGUUCGUCUUCAUUACGCAAACCGGCUAAAACAUGAGCUUGACUCGACUCGUUCCCUGGCUGGCUUGAGUUAGUUCGAGUUGGCUCAUAAUCCUUCCAAUAAGAAGUACUUUUACAUGUAUAAUUUGCAACUAGGAAAAGUACUUUUACAUAUAUUUAUUUUUUUAUAAUUCAUAUGAUAAUCAUAAGUAACAAUAAGACAUCAUUGGCAAAUCAGCUCAGGCCGCGUUCGUUUGCCCCAUUUAGUUAACUUACCCCUCGUUUUUCGCGUGCACGUUUUCCGAACUGUUAAACAUGUACUUUUUGUAAAAAUUUUCUAUAGGAAAGUUGUUUUAAAAAAUCAUAUUGAAUUGAAGAGUGAGUCCUAAUAAUUGAUUGGUGCGGCAAUUAUAAUCACAAUCAUGCUCGUGAAUGAAUGGAUGUACAACAGCAGGAGGAAGGAGACGAUACGGAUAAACUGGCCUGCGUAUCCCCACUAUGAAGCCCCAGAAGUGUUUUCUCCGCUAAUACUGGACGGUAAACAGCUGUACUACGUGAACACAUUCGAGAGCGCAGCGAGCGCCAUGGAGACGGGAGCCGUUGCAGCGGAAAACGUGGCCAGGCUCCUCCUUGCGAGGCUCAGGCUGCCUCUCCCUUCCCGGCUCCACCUUGGGGCCGAUGAUCCCGACCAGCGAGCAGAUCUGUGAAUGCAUUGCGCACACGCGCCAUCUGUAUUUGUAUUUGUGACCUUUGGAACUACUACUAGUAGCUUUGUGCCAAUCAGCUAUUUAUGUGCUCGUGUGAAAAAAAAAUGGUUUAGGAUAUGGGGAUUUCGUCAUCCGACUAAACCCGACCUGGUUUCACCUAAAGUGAGAAAUGAUUGAUAGAAUAAGUUGUGUUCUUUUAGUUAGGUUAUUGCUCGAUUUUCACACACGCGCACUAUGAAUUGCUAAACAAAAUAUUUGUUUCUAUACAUAAGUUAAUCAUC